GGGAAUAUUGGACAAUGGGCGAAAGCCUGAUCCAGCCAUGCCGCGUGUGUGAAGAAGGUCUUCGGAUUGUAAAGCACGUUAAGGUGGGAGGAAGGGCAGUAAGCAAAUACCUUGCUGUUUUGACGUUACCGACAGAAUAAGCACCGGCUAACUCUGUGCCCGCAGCCGCGGUAAUACAGAGGGUGCAAGCGUUAAUCGGAAUUACUGGGCGUAAAGCGCGCGUAGGUGGUUGGUUAAGUUGGAUGUGAAAGCCCCGGGCUCAACCUGGGAACUGCAUCCAAAACUGGCCGGCUAGAGUACGGUAGAGGGUGGUGGAAUUUCCUGUGUAGCGGUGAAAUGCGUAGAUAUAGGAAGGAACACCAGUGGCGAAGGCGACCACCUGGACUGAUACUGACGCUGAGGCGCGAAAGCGUGGGGAGCAAA
rnacentral:rRNA from 1 species